UUCAGCCAGACCCAGUCUCAGUCAAUUACCUUCUUAAUUCUAAGACUAUGGAUGGAGGCUAGAGGAGCCUGUCUUCCAGCUUAGCUGAACACUCAGCCACAGCUCCUGAGAGGCAACUGGGGAGAGUGCAGUGACGACAGGAUCCAUCUUGGUAGGAUGCUUCUGGUCAGCAAACAUGGAUGAUAUGGCAGAGAGGCCAGCCAAGGGAACUGGGUCAACUGCCACUGCAGUUUGUCCCUUUGCACCACACCAUCUUAACACCAGCCUCAGCAGGGACGUCACUCACUCGGCCAGAUGUGAUGAUUUCAUUUCAGCUGCAAGGACAGAUGUCCCCUUCCCAUGCUCUUCUUUAGCAAA